UACAGAGGUGGCAAGCGUUGUUCGGAAUUACUGGGCGUAAAGGGCGCGUAGGCGGCCUACUAAGUCAGACGUGAAAUCCCCCGGCUUAACCUGGGAACUGCGUCUGAUACUGGAAGGCUUGAGGAUGGGAGAGGGAUGUAGAAUUCCAGGUGUAGCGGUGAAAUGCGUAGAUAUUGGGAGGAACACCAGUGGCGAAGGCGGCUCACUGGACCGGAACUGACGCUGAGGCGCGAAAGCGUGGGGAGCAAACAGG
rnacentral:rRNA from 1 species